GAUAUGGCUCAGGAUGAACGCUAGCGGCAGGCUUAACACAUGCAAGUCGAGGGGCAGCGGGAUGUAGCAAUACAUUGCCGGCGACCGGCGGAUGGGUGCGUAACGCGUAUGCAACCUACCUUAUACAGGGGAAUAACCUUUCGAAAGGGAGACUAACACCCCAUGGUAUUGAUUUAAGGCAUCUUAGAUUAAUUAAAUAUUUAUAGGUAUAAGAUGGGCAUGCGUAUGAUUAGCUAGUUGGUAAGGUAACGGCUUACCAAGGCGACGAUCAUUAGGGGUCUGAGAGGAAGGUCCCCCACACUGGUACUGAGACACGGACCAGACUCCUACGGGAGGCAGCAGUGAGGAAUAUUGGUCAAUGGGCGCAAGCCUGAACCAGCCAUGCCGCGUGCAGGAAGACGGCCUUAUGGGUUGUAAACUGCUUUUACAUAAGACUAACCGUAUAUUUGCGAAUAUACCUGAAUGUAUUAUGAGAAUAAGGAUCGGCUAACUCCGUGCCAGCCGCCGC
rnacentral:rRNA from 1 species